rnacentral:lncRNA from 1 species
GAUAAAAUUCUCCAGAAUUCUAGCAUCUCUAGGAACAGAUAAACAACAGCUCAACCUUCCAAUAUCAUAUCCGUUAACAACUUAGACUAUAGAUCAAGUACUCUUCCCACAAGUUCAGGUUUAGAGCAAAUCUUAAUUCAUAAUAGUCAUGCCUAAACUUGAGAGAGAAUUCAAUUUUGAGAACUAGUCAUGGCAGAGCAACUAUUCAUCAUUUCCAUGUGAGAGCU